rnacentral:lncRNA from 1 species
AGUCUCCUGUGUAUGAUCCUCAGAAAGACAUAUGAGGGUUUUCCUCAGAACCUAAAUUCUAAACUGCCAGACUGUCUUCUGAAGUGGCUAUAAUAUUUACACUCCCAUCAGCAGUGUAGAAGGGGUCUCACUAUGUUGUCUGGAGUGCUGUGGUGGAGUGGAGUGGCUAUUCACAGAGCCUGUUCUGCUGGGACACAGAAUCACUUGCUCCAUCUCAUACAUUGAUGAUGAUUAAUUUGUAUGUGUACCUUCCAAAAAAGAUGGUUGUGUUUGAAUGGAGGCCUUCUGGACAGGAAAAUAUGGAGAGUGCGUGCUUUGGAUUCAAGACUGGGAAUGAGGGGACCAGAAACCUAUUCUGUGGCUGUUUCUUGUUAGGACUUUCCUAAGCCUCUGGAAAAGUGCAAAGUACAAUUAACAUUUGAGUCUGUCUGAGUCAUGAAGAAAUGGAGAUUACUGAAAAUAAUUCAUUUUGGUAUCUUCUUACAUCCUGAGAGACUAAUCUUUCCAAGUUCAUCUGAGGCUCCUCUUCUCCAUGACAACCUCAUCCAGGGAUUUCUUCCUGUCCUGGUGUUUUAUGACAUAAUCACAUCCUUCCUGAGAUAAUGAGCACACAAUUGCCUGGAUACCUGAAGGAAUGGAGACAGCGGCAGAAAACACUGCAGAGAGGUGGAAACAUCCGUUAAUAUUUUAAAAUCCCAUUACUGCUACCAACAAUAAUAAUGGAUGCAUAGAAAUAGAUCUGGAUUAGCUGAGCUUGAAACAGUCCAUCUCACACACACACAAAAGAAUUUCAGAUACAGUGAACCCACAUGUUGAAGCUUUCUAGUAUAAUAAAAAUUUCAACUGUUCUGUUGAAUCAUCUGCCUGAUUGGAGGCUACAGAAAAGAUGUCAUCUUAGGAGUGCUUGCUCUGAGUGAGGCUCAUCUUCAAAUCUGAAUGACCACAAGGAGAUUUGAUUAUACAUGUGAACACCUCAGAAGGCACAGCCCACCCAGAAGGCAGACAGGUCAGGCUGCUUUUUCUUCAUUGCUUGGAUUCAAUCCUCCGGGCGGCUCAGGCUCAAACAUAACUUAAGCAUGAUUAAACUUUAGAAGAAGCUGCCAGGAAGACUGUGAAAUCUUCAUGCCCAAGGAUCCCUAAAAUUAGGAGCAACAACCACUUGGCUCAGACGGUUUAUGGAGGCAAAGGUUUGGAUGGGAUUAGAGAUUUCUAAAUGUGAGUUCGUGUCCUCUGCCAGACCACCUUACUUCCACCAUUCCUCAGCAAAUCAAGAAAAACAGGAGAAAAGACAUGCCUUUCCAUAAGUUAAAUCUAUUCUGUUUUAAUUCUAUAUUAUAUCUGCUGUACAACUUCUUUUGUUUGUAACACCAUAUUGUUGCUAGUAACUGGAAAUUAAUUUUCACAUGCCUCAGCUUAGAAAAAUAAAAAGCAGCCCUGCAUCAAUCCCAA